UACGUAGGUGGCAAGCGUUGUUCGGAAUCAUUGGGCGUAAAGGGCGCGUAGGUGGUUCUGUAUGUCUACCGUGAAAGCAUACAGCUCAACUGUAUUUUGUCGGUAGAAACUGCAGGACUUGAGGCUGGGAGGGGCUGGUGGAAUUCCCUGUGUAGCGGUAAAAUGCGUAGAGAUGGGGGAGAACACUCGUGGUGAAGGCGGCCAGCUAGACCAGUUCUGACACUGAGGCGCGACAGCGUGGGGAGCAAACAGG
rnacentral:rRNA from 1 species